rnacentral:rRNA from 1 species
UACGGGGGGGGCAAGCGUUGUUCGGAAUUACUGGGCGUAAAGGGCUCGUAGGCGGCCAACUAAGUCAGACGUGAAAUCCCUCAGCUUAACUGGGGAACUGCGUCUGAUACUGGAUGGCUUGGAUUCGGGAGAGGAAUGCGGAAUUCCAGGUGUAGCGGUGAAAUGCGUAGAUAUCUGGAGGAACACCGGUGGCGAAGGCGGCAUUCUGGACCGAUAUUGACGCUGAGGUGCGAAAGCGUGGGGAGCGAACAGG